GAGGAAUAUUGGUCAAUGGGCGAGAGCCUGAACCAGCCAAGUCGCGUGAAGGAAGACUGCCUUAUGGGUUGUAAACUUCUUUUAUACAGGAAUAAAAAGGCUUACGUGUAGGCCAUUGCAAGUACUGUAUGAAUAAGCAUCGGCUAACUCCGUGCCAGCAGCCGCGGUAAUACGGAGGAUGCGAGCGUUAUCCGGAUUUAUUGGGUUUAAAGGGUGCGCAGGCGGGCUUUUAAGUCAGCGGUGAAAUCUGGACGCUUAACGUCCAAACUGCCGUUGAAACUGGUUCCCUUGAGUGCGGAUGAGGUAGGCGGAAUUUGUGGUGUAGCGGUGAAAUGCAUAGAUAUCACGAGGAACUCCGAUUGCGCAGGCAGCUUACCAAGCCGUAACUGACGCUCAAGCACGAAGGCGUGGGGAUCAAACA
rnacentral:rRNA from 1 species